rnacentral:lncRNA from 1 species
GCCAUCAAACUUGCAGACUUUUUUUACUCAGUUGCUCACUCUUCUGAGUCUAAAUAUCUAAUGGAGAUUUGGACUUUGUGUUCUGUUUAUUGUCCUCAGUAAUCUGAAGGACAAGCUUGCCUUCAACUCUCACAUAGUACAACCCUCAUUUAGACAGUUAACAGGUACUAUUAAAAUCUCCCAUAGGGCGGGAACUGGCAAUUGCAGCAAUAGACUUGGCUAUCAGAUUUCAUCAAAGGGAGCCUAAGGGCAGUGUGGCCAUGGAUGCCAGCACUCAUGGGGACAGACAGAGAGCAGGAGGAGGAGGCCUUGGUUUCCAAAAAGAGCCAUAGAAAGAACUCCGGGGAGUGGCUCUGCCCACUGUCUGAUGCUUGAAUCCUUACAUAACUGCUCUGAGAAAGGGCUUUUGCUUGGAUUUUUUCAGGGAUAAGGGAACAGGCUUUCUCCCAGAGUGAUCUGUUCUAUUUGGAACAGAUCUGUCUUUGAUAGAAAGUUCUUCCUUACACCUAGCAAAAAAUCAGCCCUCUUGACUCUCCACGUACUGAUCCUAGCCCUGCCUGACCUUUGAGGCCCCAAAUAACAAGUCUAAUCCAUGUGACAGCUUUUUUUUUUUUUUUUUUUUGAGACGGAGUCUCGCUCUGUCGCCCAGGCUGGAGUGCAGUGGCGCGAUCUCGGCUCACUGCAAGCUCCGCCUCCCGGGUUCACACCAUUCUCCUGCCUCAGCCUCCCGAGUAGCUGGGACUACAGGCGCCCGCUACCACGCCCGGCUAAUUUUUUGUAUUUUUAGUAGAGACGGCUUUUAAAGACAGUUUUUGUACCCCUCAAGUUGCUAGGUGGAACCUUCUCAGUGCUUUCAACCAUUCCUCAUUUAGUUGGUUUCCUACCCCUCUUGAUCCUAGUUCUGACCCCUGGAUAUACCACAAUUUGUCAUUAUCCCCUUUAUAGCAUGCUGCCUGGAAGAGAACACAUUAUCUGGCAAUUCUGAGUUGUGUAACAUGUACCCAUGUGUAACAUCUAGCAUGUAGAGUGGAUGGAGCAGAUGUCCACUUACUGGCCUGUAGAGUGGAUGGAGCCGAGGUCCACUUACUAGCAUGUGGGAUGGAUGGAGCCGAUGUCUACCCAUGAUUCUCUCAUGUCCUAAUGCAACCUAGAAUUGUGUUGGUUUAUUUGGCAUCUUGGAUUAUAUUAUUGCCUUCUGUUGAGCUUAUCAUCAACCAGAACUCCCAAGCAGAAUUUUUUUUUUCUGUUUUCAAUAUGCAUGCAGUUGCUUAGCCACAUCUUCCAUAUCCCGCAGGCUUAUUGGACCUUAAAUCUAUAGAUUUCAGCUUCUUGUUGAGAAGUUUUCUUAGCAAUAUUCUGCUGUGGGUAACUUCAGUUUUUAUACACAACAUAAAGAAGUCUCUCUGCAGUGUUUGAGAUAAAUUGAACAUCUGUACCAAGUAGACAACAGAGAGGUUUCUCGGUUGCUAGGGAAGGAUUGGGCAAUUAAUAAGUCCCUGUAUUCCAUCCUUUCACCUUCAGUAAUAUAUAGGUGUCAACCUAAAGGAAGAAGUUGAGACACAAAAUGCAAUUUUUAACAGUUUACUUGAACUGUUUACUUGAACCAAGUGAGGACAGCUGCCCGGGACACACUUCCAAGUUGCCUGGGGGAGUGCGUCCUUCGGCCUUUGUUACCACAGAUUCUUAAAGGCAAAAGCGAACAAGGAGAGGACUGAUACAAAGUGACUUGACAGGAAUUCUCAUCAGUUUACAGAAAUAGCAUGGAUUAUUGAUGGGCUGUACAUUGUUGGACUAUAGGGUAUGAGUUAUGAUGUCCAGUGUUAGCAUUUUAUGACUUAGUGGUGUCAGUUAGUCUAGAACCCACAUAGCAAGUGGCUUCAAGAGGUAAUUAUUUAACUCAAGGGGGGAGUGACACAUGACUGCUCUCACAUUUUAGUGCCUCUCUGGACCCGUAAUUUAAAGGGAUUCCUCAGAUAAAAAGUUUCUUUUCUUUCUCACAAGAUUCACUUGGAAGGUUCUAUCUUCAGAUGCUUUUGGUUUGUUGGAAGGGACUAGAAAUUGGCAGCUUUUUCUUUUUUUCAGUAGAGGCAGGGUCUCACUAUGGUGCCCAGGCUGGUCUUGAACUCCUGGGCCCAAGUGAUCCUCCCACCUCAGCCUCCCCAAAUGCUGGGAUUACAGGUGUGAGACACUGCACUCAGCUGCUGUUUGCAUAAAUAAUUAUGUUCAUUGACACCUAGAAUAUUAGUGCUAGAGGGAGUUGAGAGAUAUUUUAGUUUAUGCCCCAUGCUUUUUGCACAUUUGAAAAUGGUUCACAGGUACUAAGCAAACUGUUGACAGAGGUAGGCUUGGCGCCUGGGCCUCCUGACAUACCUGUAAACUGAUUUACGAGCUUAUACCUGUAUAGCAAGAGGUUACAAUGCUGGUAUUAAGAUACUUCAGAGAUUUUUUUUUUCUCCCGGCCCUCUAGUGAGUUUAAUUGCCCCAGAGCUGGUUGGCGUCCUUGAAUUCCUCUAGCUCAUGAGUAAAUGAAGCUCUCAUAGAUUUUUAGCCAAGUGGCUCUGGCAAUGAAGCUAGGCAGGAUCGUCUCUGGGAUUUCCAGGUCCUUUGCUGGCAUUUUGCCAGGUACUUCCCUUGUGAGAUAGCUUGGGGGUCCUUCCUACAUUGCAAUUGUUGAGAGAAAAUGCGAUCUCCCGUGGAUCUCUCUGGUGCCAGACUGGGGUGUUUCCAAAGGAGUACCCUGGCACUGGACCUAAGGAGAGCCUUCGGCGGAGCACCAUCCUCUGGCAGGUGGUGCUGGGUGUCGGGGCAGGGUGGGGUGCUGUGGCAGCAGUUGGAGGUCCUGUCUCCUCUCAAGGUAGCUGAGAUAGAGUGCCCAGGCUUAAGGUGGGCAUCCAGCCACAUGCCGGAGGACAGUCUGACGGGCAAGUAGCUGUGCCAGUCUGCCAAGUGUCGGGAGGAUUUUUGUCAUUUUUUAUAUUAAUGUACCCUUUUUUUGUCACUUGGUUCUUGAAGAGCAGGAAGUUGACUCUUUCACUGUGCUGUAAUACUCUCUCAUAGCAACUGGGACUCUGUAGAGUGGUUGUUUUCAGAUUCUGACAGGGGUCAGGAGAUAACGUUUUCUGCUUGGUACUACCUAGCUGUUGCAGGGCAGGUUACUUCAUCUUUUAGCAUUGAUUCUUCAUCUUUAAAGUAAGGGGCUUAGAGUGACCUGUGAAGGCUCAUUUAGCAAUGGUCUCUAGGAUUCUAGGGGCCUACAUCGCUCCCAAAAUGUGUCCUUAUUGUGUAUCUUUAAGAAGCCCUUGCUCUUCUCUUUUGUGUAGUAUUAAUAGUAUUCCUGAGUAAAUCC